rnacentral:lncRNA from 1 species
GUGAUUUAGGGUUUCAUACUUUGGUUCUUGAGGGUAGAGGAUAAUCUUCAAGCUGUCUAAGCAAAUUGUCACUUCUGGAAAGAGACAUUUUAUGUGUUGGCAUGUGGUGUUUCACAACAGUGUCUCGAUGUGUCUGAUAAAUUCACUGACCAUUAGUCAUGAUCGUCAUGUACUGAUGUGAUACCAGGAGCCCAGGAGCUGCCCCAUUAUCUAGGCCCAGCAUCUACUGAGGAGGGCAAGUGAAAUGACCCACUCUUCUUGACAAUGUGUUUACCUGACAAUGGGCCAUCUCUCAUCAAAAGCCUGAGCUAGUUAAUAGCAAAUAGAGGCAGAGAAGAAGGGUCUUGGAAGAAGAGUGGUUUUGUGGUUUGCUAUGGAGAUACGAUGGCCUGGCUUUAGCUGUCAUUCCCACAGAAGCCUCUCUGGUACAAGAAGACUACCCAAGCAGCCAUGUCUCAGUGACCCCAGCUGUUCUGGGGCAAGGAAAGGGCAGGCUGUGUUUAGGGUGUGGCUAUUUCACAGUGCAGGACACUGAGAGGCCACUGUCCUUCUUUUCUUCCACCCUGCAUCUCCCAAGAUGAUGGAGGAAGCCCCAUAUGUAUGGUGCUCCUGUGAUGUUGUGAUGGGUGUUUGCUCAAAGGCCUCAACAGACUGAGGGGGUGAGCACAGACCUGACACAGUGCUUCUCCGAAGCCUACCAUCUGGACACCAGGCUGCCCACAGUCCUGGACUGCAUGCAGCUGAAGUCACCCUAUUCCUUCAUGAUGCCCUGAGGGAUCUUUGUAGACCACAGUGUGAGAACAUCUUCAGAAUGAGCUUAUGUUUCUCCUCCAUUUGAUUUGAAGUCUAAAUGUUUUAACAUUGCAUGGCAUUAAUUAAUGAUCAAAUCACCCUUCUUUGUAACUGAAGAUGACCUAGAACUCCUUAAUCUUCCUGCCUCCGCCUCUGAGUCCUAGGAUUGCAGGCAUUCAGCGCUAUGCCGAGUUUUAUGCAGUGCUCAGAAUCAAACCAUAGACUUUGUGUAAGUUAGGGCAGUAUGCUGUUAACUGAACUCCAACUCCAGCCCACAGCGCCAGCCUUCCAAUUGCCCAGUUUCUCCUACUCUGCCAUGCCUCACAAGAGACAUAACUCUUCAGGCUACAGCCAAGUCAUGAUUGCCCCCUCCAUAUUGGCACUAGUGUGUCUGGCUUGCCACUGGGGACCCUUUGUCUGGAAUCCCAGAGGUCUACUUUCUAGCUCUUAAGCAUGAAAUUGUGAUUGUCCAGCUCUGAGGAAUGGGAUACUGAAAACCAUUUGUUACAAAGAAAUAAUGAAGCCGGCAAAAUAAAUUCAAGAUCAAGAGUGUCCUCCUAACAGUGCUGGUCUUGCUUACUGCCUUUCUUUAGAAGUUUCUAGAAAGGAGAAACAUAUGCAGGAAUCAUGCAAAAUUAAGAUUAUGAGCCAGGCAGAUGGCUCAGCAGAUAAAGGCACCUGCCACACAAGCCUGAACACCUGAGUUUGAUCCCUGGAACCCACGUGAAUAUAAAAAGAGAGAAUCAACUUGUGGUAGUUAGAAAGAAAAUGGCCCCCUAGGCUCACAGGGAAUGGCACUGUUAGGAGGUGUGGUCUUGCUGGAGUAGGUGUGGCUUCAUUGGAGGAAAUGUCACUGUCUCUUCCUGCUACCUAUGAAUCCAGAUGUAGAACUCUUAGCUCCUUCUCCAAUACCAUGUCUGCCUGCAUGUCACCAUGCUUUCUGAUAUGACAAUGAUGGACAAAAUCUCCGAACUGUAAGCAAACCCCAAUUAAAUGAUUUCCUCUAUAAGCAUUGCCGUGGUCAUGGUGUUUCUUCAUAGCAAUAGAAACACUAAGACACAACUCCGUAACGUUGUCCUCUAAUUUCCAUAUGUGUGCUGUGGAGUGUAUACACACACACACACACACUACACUUUUAAAAAUUUAAAGUGGAAUUAUCUUUUACUGGUGAACAUAAAUUCUCAUAUGUCAUGACAGUUAAAAGGUUGAAAAUCAUGGGCAGGGCUUCCGCCUUAGAAUACCCCACUUCAGAAAAUGUGUGCAUGCUGUGACCUUAACCAGCCUGCUGCAGGGAGUCUGUCCAACCCAGCUGGCCCAGCUUCCUGCUAAUAAGCUUAAUUAUGGGGAAAGAGUGGGUGUCUAUCUAACACCACCUCUCAGCCUGCUGGGUAUUGGAUUUCUCUCAUUAGCCCUCCUUGCAUCCAAUUCUGGAAAGCCCAUGUUAAUAUGCAAGUUCUACCAUAAGGAGAAGGUAUAGUCAGUCAAAGUUCUAAGGUUUCUUAGAACUUUAAGCCCAAGUUUGUCUGGCUCCAAAGCCUAUACAUAAAAUCUAGUGUAUAAAUUAUAGAGCUCCAAGCAGACAUGCCCCAGCGCCACCCCCAUUCCAAAUCUGAUGAGAGUUUCAAGAUGGCAAUGCUGUGAAUUUCACAGCAUGGGCCCCAUGACAUUGAAUAAGCGACUUCCCACCUAUGCACCUGCCCAACUCCGCACCCCCAUCCCACUUCCUGCCAGCUCCUGACAGAGCCUCCCUCAGCAGGCAGCACCAUCCACCUCCCAGCGCCUUGAAAAUCCAACUUAGUUCAGUAAUUUCAAGGUCCCUUCAAGUUCCAAGAGAUUCACAGCCUUAAAUAUCCUUCCCUGAAAGCACACAACUUAUAUUUUUCUAUAAGUCAAGGAGGAAGCAACAUAAAAAGGAGCAAGAAGACGGGUCUUCCUAGAAUAGAAAUGUGUCCUCUGCAUAGCCAGAGGACUUGUUUGAAAACUUCAACAAAUUCUCUGUCCUCAGCCCUUCCUACUUUAUACCCUCUAUCAAAGAGCCCCAUUCCAGCCGAGAUGCAAAUAAAAUCUCUUUUCCCACAAAAGGCAUUUUGUGUGUCCCUCAUUAUGGAAUUAUACCUCACAGCCAUUUUCACAAGCAUUAAAAACCACAAUGGGCAUUAUUGGAUAUACAUUUUAUGCUAAUGGAUUUCAAACACAAAUGAGCAAAAAUACUAAUCACAUUAGUACUGAGGAAUUAUACUAAUUCUGUUGGGUAUAAACCUUAUUGUUACUAUAACUGUAAAGUCCCAAGAAAAUUCAUGACAAAUUACUGCAGAGGCAUUGUUGGCAGUUAGGCUACCGGCCAGAGACAGUGGGGGAGGGGUGCAGAAUGUGUGCUUCUUCUUUAGGAGAAAAGAGGCCCACACAUCCUGGUGGCCAUUGGUGCCUGGGAGUUGGAAAUAACUUGAGUUUUCAUUGUUAGCCAUGUGUAUUUCUUAAGAAGUUUUCCAGUUGAUUUGUAGUGUGGGGUAUGUAUGCCUGUGUGUGUGUGUGUCUCUGUGUGUAUGUCUCUGUGUGUGUCUUUGUGUGUGCCCAUAAAUAUGCUUAGGAGGACACACAUGUGUGUACAUAUAGGUGGAAACCAGAAGGCAAUCUUGGGCUCAUUCCUCAGGAGUCAACACUUUGGUUUUUGAAGCACGGUCUCAAAGAGACCUAGGACACACCAAUUUUGCUCAGCCAACUGGCCAGUGAGCUCCAAGUUUCCUCCUGUCUCUGUCUCCCCAGUCCUGGGAUCACAAGUGUCUACCAGGACCAGCGUCCAUGUGUGGAACUGGAGAUCAAGUUCAAAGUCCACAUGUCCCUGAAGCAGGCACUUUACCCACUGGUCCACUGUUCCAGCCCCAUUUGCUGAUCCUUAAUUUACAUGCCUUGAGGGAUUUACUGUUCAGAAUUCCUCAGUUCCUUAAAUAGUAUUGCUCUUUGUCAGAUGAACACUGGUAACUAGCUCUCCCAUUCUGUAGAUAGCUAUCUGUUCCAUUGAUUGCUUCCCUCGCUGUGCAACUUUGUUCAUUUGUGGUAAUCCCACUUGACUAGUCUCUUGGCUACACCAAAGUCUUCAAGUGUUUCUCCCUGUUUUCUUUUAGUCAUUCCCUAGUUUGGGGUCUUGUUUUUUCGGCUUUUUAUCUGUUUUGAGUUGAUUUGGCAAGGUGAGAGGAGUUUGGGUCUUAAAUACUAAGU